CCUGAUAACCAUAGCAAAGUGGUACCACUCCUUACCAUCCCGAACAGGAAAGUGAAACGCUUCUGCGCCGAUGAUAGUAGGCAUCAGCUUGUGAAAGUAGGUUAUUAUCAGGA
rnacentral:rRNA from 1 species